GAAGCCAUAGUUCAGUGGUAGAACACAUGCUUAGAAUGCACAAGGUCCUGGGUUCAAUUCCCAGUACUUCCA
rnacentral:tRNA from 1 species